rnacentral:misc_RNA from 1 species
AAGACCUGUACUUCGAAUGUU